GUUUUGGUUUUUUUUUUCUUGGCUUUCACUUCUCUGUUUGUCAUUUUCCGCUUUCUUUCUUCCGUUUUCAGCUUUAGUUUUCUCUCGACUCUCUGCGUCGUCGUGUUUUUCUUGCAAAUUGUUAACGGAGCAGGUUGUGUUGUUGGGAAUUAUAGUUUCAGCAAAUUCAGCCUUCGUGGGUUUUGUUUUGUUGCUGGGUAAUUAAGGCAUUAAGGGUCUAUUGCCACAGUUGUCAUAAUUGCAGAGAUUCUCAAAAACGAUAGAUUCGCUGUUGACAAAAAAGUUAUAACAUCAGUUGUUGACAUAAAGGAUGACUCUAGCGAGAGACCAAUCCAAAGAGCCAAGUUGUUUCUGAAGAGAAGAAGAGAAAGCUUUGGUUUCAGUAAAACGAUUAAAUGGAAGACGAAGGUCCAACUCCACUUGACCAAUUAGUGGCAUAUAAAAAGGUUGUUUAUAUUAAAGUGCGUGUUUGUAGAAUAUGGAAACCAAAGUAUCCAGGCAUAGAUGAUAAAUAUACAGCAUAUUGGUUGAAGAAAAGGUUAGUGAUCAUUUAUUUUGUAAAAUUAGUUUAUACACAUUAGAUCUUCUAUGUUAAGGAUUAGUUAUUUGUUUUAAUGCACACGACAUGAUUUUUAUACUCUCUGUAGUAAAGAUUGUAUACAAUUGAUCUCUAAACUCUUUAUUC